CCAACAACUUUGUCCCUUAUGCGAAAAUCGCAAUAUAUCCAACUAUUUUGCAUUAGAAAUCAAUUGCUUUGCACAAUUCAACCACAAUAAGAAUGCAGAACUCACGGUGGAGAUUAUUUUCCCUCAUAAUCUCUAAUUAAGCUCCUUAGAUGCCUCCAUGGAAUUAAAGAAGAGCACAUGGGUUUGGCCCCCAUACACCGACUAAUGGCAAUAUAUACGUGCAAAGAUACAAUUAUAUACCAUAUCCAGUACUAAGCAGUAAACUAGUGGCACAGUUAUGAGCUCGCCAUUUGGGUCAACCUUCUUCGCUUCGUAGUUGCCUUCAACUUCGAGACUUUACCUGCAAUUUUAGACGCACCAUCGAUGAAUGAUGAUGAAUGGUGGUGAAAUAGUAUAAAAUCACGUAAACUGAAUUUAAACAUUUGAUCCCGAGGCCGAUAGCACUGGCUCUGGAUCCCAAAACCAUCCAUUACUGCUUCUAUUUGCCCAAAACGGGAGCAUUAAUGCUAGAAUUAGUCCUAACAGAGGCAAGUUUUUUUUUUCUCUACAGGUAGCUAUCUCUUAACCUUGAUGAGUAGCAGCAUUGAGCCAUUGACCAAACCCAAUGCAACACACAAACCAAAACGACUUUAAGUGAGUUGUAUGUCAUCAUCAUUAAUCAAGGUGGGAUAUGGAAGCAAUCUCGGGGAUUACAUUAGUGGGUUAAUACUAGUAUGACUUCACAAAGUUUAAACCAUUUCUUAAUUGUAAGGUGAUUAAGUCACACAAUCAGGCUGCAACAUCUCCAUAACACUAACAAGUCAACCAACGAAUUUAAUAUCCAGCAUUUAAACACUGCAAGCUGGAAACAAGAAAAAACCCAACGGAGCUGAGAUUUCAAAGUGGACGAAGGCUCUGCCCUUAUGUGCAUCAAACAAAGUGGCAUUAAUGUAUUACUUAUCUCGUCGUCAUUGUAUGAAGAUGCGCACCAGACGCAACGCAUGGGUGCGUGCAUGAACAUAGGUGUUGCAUUGCACCAUUUAAAGACCUAAUUGCAUAAGGUGCACUAGCAAGCAUAUGUAUUCAAGAAACCUAUUUAUUCGAUUAACAAAACCAUGGCUCAACAUUCAAGUCCAAUCAAUUUUUUCUAGCGAUGGUGUACAUUUGAGAUGGUGUGCCCAAUAAAUUCCAUUCAUGGCAACAUUGAAGUAGUGAUUUCAAUUGGAGGCCAGUCAAAUUUCUAUAAGCUUUCGAAGCAACCAAAAAGGACAUAUAAUUGAUGAGUUUCAACUUUCAACUCCUAACCUAAUAAUAAUAAAUAAAUCGUCAUAAUUAUCCAAUGAGUCGAGCUAACCUGCUUACAUGGCCACUGCCAGGUUGUACCAAAAUCAACUGGAGGUAACUAAGCCAGUAACAAACUUUUGACACAAUUAAACUAGAUAUGCCUAUCAUGGGUUUCAGUUUUCAACCAGGCUCACUGUUGGGAGAUUGCCAGAGUCAUCAAUCAUGUGGCCAAUACUCAUUAACAACUCGUUAACAAGAAGAAAGAAAAGCUACCGCAGAAGCUGCACAAGUAAGAACAAAAGAAGAUUUUUCUUCUCAGACCAAUGACCAAAAAAAAAAAAUCAACAGUAAGCCUAUUACCUUUCUCGUUUUAGAUUUCUCUACCUUUCUGUGUACGACCAACCACAACAAAGCCUCUCACCUCGCACGCCUCUCCCACCCAAUACAGAUUAUUCAACCCUUACCAUGCCACUCUCCAACCAUGAAUACCUCGGGUAAUAAAAUGUGUAGCGUCUAGUAUAGUACUGCAAUACUCUUAAUGCCGCAUUUAAGAAAACCAAUUGACCUCCCUCCUCCCUCACCCAUCUCCCCUAUAAAUACUCGUGAUCUCUUCUCCGUCCAACCACACCAAGAACACCCCGAGCAACUCUCCUCCCUCCCCUUCCAUCCAUCCAUCCAUCGUUCUCCAAUCGCCAUCACCUUCAUCUGCACGUCUCGCCGGCCCUACGCAACAGUAAGCUCCCUCGCCAUGCCGACUCCGACCUCUAGCUCCAUGGAACAGUGGUGCAAAGGUUUUCCAUUUGACCAACCAGCUGAGAAACAUUUUUUCUUUUAUCUUAUGGGUGCAGGCAGGGAGGUACCUCUCGGGAUGAGCCGCAGCAACAAGAAGAGCUCGAGGGGCAUCGACCUGAAGCUGAACCUCUCGCUGCCGGCGAGAGGUGACUCGUCG
rnacentral:lncRNA from 1 species